rnacentral:rRNA from 1 species
CGGGGGGGCAAGCGUUGUUCGGAAUUACUGGGCGUAAAGCGCGCGUAGGCGGCUUUUCAAGUCAGACGUGAAAGCCCCAGGCUUAACCUGGGAAUUGCGUUUGAUACUGUUAAGCUAGAGUGUGGAAGGGGCUACUGGAAUUCCGAGUGUAGCGGUGAAAUGCGUAGAUAUACGGAGGAACACCAGCGGCGAAGGCGGGUUGCUGGGCCAACACUGACGCUGAUGCGCGAAAGCUAGGGUAGCAAACGGGAUUAGAUACCCCGGUAGUCCUAGCCUCAAACGAUGCUGACUUGGUGUUCCAGGUUUUAAGUCCUGGGGUGCCGGAGCUAACGCGUUAAGUCAGCCGCCUGGGGAGUACGGUCGCAAGGCUG